rnacentral:rRNA from 1 species
CCUACGGGAGGCUGCAGUGGGGGAUAUUGCACAAUGGGGGAAACCCUGAUGCAGCGACGCCGCGUGGGCGAAGAAGUAUUUCGGUAUGUAAAGCCCUAUCAGCAGGGAAGAAGAAAUGACGGUACCUGAGUAAGAAGCACCGGCUAAAUACGUGCCAGCAGCAGCGGUAAUACGGAUGGUGCAAGCGUUAUCCGGAUUUACUGGGUGUAAAGGGAGCGCAGGCGGCACGGCAAGCCUGAUGUGAAAUCCCGCGGCCCAACCGCGGGACUGCAUUGGGAACUGCCGGGCUGGAGUGCGGGAGAGGUAGGCGGAAUUCCUAGUGUAGCGGUGAAAUGCGUAGAUAUUAGGAGGAACACCAGUGGCGAAGGCAGCCUACUGGACGGUGACUGACGCUGAGGCUCGAAAGCGUGGGGAGCGAACAGGAUUAGAUACCCUAGUAGUC